ACGAGAGGACCGGAGUGGACGUACCUCUGGUGUUCCAGUUAUCAUGCCAAUGGUAUUGCUGGGUAGCUAUGUACGGACGGGAUAACCGCUGAAAGCAUCUAAGCGGGAAGCCUCCUUCAAGAUUAGAUUUCCCGACCCUUUAAGGGUCCUCAAGGUCCGUUGAAGACGACGACGUUGAUAGGCGGGAUGUGGAAGUGCAGUAAUGCAUGGAGCUAACCCGUACUAAUUGACCGUGAGGCUUGACCCUAUAACACCCAAGAGUU
rnacentral:rRNA from 1 species